rfam:Oryza nivara chromosome 1, whole genome shotgun sequence.
CAUCUGUCUCAGCAAUGAUUUUCCGUGUCCAAUUUUAAUCGUUUAUCCCAUUUAUUUUUUUUUAAAAAAUAAAAACAUAAGUUAUACAUAAAGUACUAUUUAUAUUUUAUCAUCUCAUAACAAUAAAAGUACUAAUUAUAAAAAAAUUAAAUAAGACGAACGAUCAAAGUUGAGCACAGAAACUCAUAGUUGCACUUAAA